AGGCCUGGGUAUUUUUCCCAAUACUUUUUGUGGAUUCCCAGAUUCCUACCUCAGAGUAGGAACCUGCAAAUUGUUGGCUUGGCAGCGUUGUGCUGGGCGAUUUGGAAGCUCGGGAACAGGGCUUAUUUUGAAUUUAAAAUACUAAAAUCACAUGUUAAAUUAGUUUGCUAUGUUGUAGCUUUUAUGAAUUACUAGGCAACGCUACAAAAUGAUGAGUAUCAUACAAUGUUGGAGCAAGGAGCUGCUGCAUUACAGAGGACCGUGUUGGAGCGUGUUGGAGCAGAGAAUGAGCGGAGUGGGUGA
rnacentral:rRNA from 1 species